rnacentral:rRNA from 1 species
AGAGUAAUACCGUAUACGCCCUUUUGGGGAAAGAUUUAUCGGUGAAGGAUUAGCCCGCGUCUGAUUAGAUAGUUGGUGGGGUAACGGCCUACCAAGUCGACGAUCAGUAGCUGGUUUGAGAGGAUGAUCAGCAACACUGGGACUGAGACACGGCCCAGACUCCUACGGGAGGCAGCAGUGGGGAAUCUUAGACAAUGGGCGCAAGUGAUCUAGCCAUGCCGCGUGAGUGACGAAGGCCUUAGGGUCGUAAAGCUCUUUCGCCAGGGAUGAUAAUGACAGUACCUGGUAAAGAAACCCCGGCUAACUCCGUGCCAGCAGCCGCGGUAAUACGGAGGGGGUUAGCGUUGUUCGGAAUUACUGGGCGUAAAGCGCACGUAGGCGGAUCAGAAAGUUGGGGGUGAAAUCCCGGGGCUCAACCCCGAACUGCCUUCAAAACUCCUGGUCUAGAGUUCGAGAGAGGUGAGUGGAAUUCCGAGUGUAGAGGUGAAAUUCGUAGAUAUUCGGAGGAACACCAGUGGCGAAGGGGCUCACUGGCUCGAUACUGACGCUGAGGUGCGAAAGUGUGGGGAGCAAACAGGAUUAGAUACCCUGGUAGUCCACACCGUAAACGAUGAAUGCCAGACGUCGGGCAG